CGGGGCGCUCCCCGCGCCACCGGGGUUCCGCCCGGAGCUGCGGGUACAGAGACGGGGAUUUCCCCCUUUCCGCCUCUCUUUGUCAGCCUUUCGCCCGAGCGGACAGCGCGUCCCCGGCGCUUCGGGCAUAGAGAACAAACGCGCUCCUCCUGCAAAAUAAAUAAUGCGAGUAUUGAGGGAGCGAAACUCCGGGCUGGGGCGCUCAGGAUGUCCCAGCUGGGGCAGCUCUGUGCUGUCGGGGGCCAGGGUUUGUCCCGGAGCCGUAACAGCGGGAGGUGGCUGUGCUGAACUAGCGGGGACGCUGAACACGGGGAGCGGCAGGAGGAGAAUGCUCGGGGUCAGGCGCCUCUCUCGGGUCAGGUCCCGAUGAGAACAGAGCACAGGUCACCCCCCGGGCCGCCAGGAGAGGCUGAUGGGGUUUGUGUGUCUGCAAACGAGCAAAGCAUUUGGAACCUGAAGCCUGGAAGUGAGCCCCAGCCUUUGCUUACCUGUGUGUCCCCCCCAUGCUGCCUCGCAGGUAUGUUAGAACGCGGUUUUAAGCACUGUCAAAAUGCUCUGUUGGAGGAUUUUUCCAUCUCUGCUCAAGCCCUUUUGUCAGCUUCAGCCUCAGGUUCCUAUUUCUGUUUGGCGUGUUCUGAAUGGAGUGCAGGGCCCAGGGGUGCUGAGCUCCGAGCAGACACAGCUUAAUUAAUUGAAUAGUCCCGUGCUUGUUCUUCUGCUUUUUACAAACAAAUGAACAGUUGAUAUGUGUGGAUCCUUUCAUUCACCACCAGAACAAUCUUCUGCACAGGACAGGGGGAAAAUGCCUAAUCAGUCACAGCAAACCAGCAUGGUGGUUUGGGGUGGGAAGUGAAAAAUACCAUGUCCAUUCAAACUUGGAUAUCACUGCACUGGAGAAUUGGGAGAAGCAGGGUGCAGGACUCACCCCAGGUGGGAGCUGGGCUGGCUGCACAGGCAGCGCUUCCUCAAAGCACUCCCAGGUCUGGGCAUUCAGCUCCAGACCUCUGGCAGAAGUGAGACUGGAACAGAGGCAGCAAUAAAGCUGUGCCCAGGCAGGAGGUUGGGGCUCCCUACAGCGCGAGCUCAGAGCUCCACGCUUUUUCUCCUCCUGCUGAUCCGCUUGCUUUUAUUUUUCCACCUGCUGACCCGCAGGUGUUCCUGCUGAGACAUAGACGUGGUGGUGGGCAUGUUUGAAUGCUGGGCUGUGAGGAGGGCAGGGAUCCUCCAGGGACCCCGUGUUUGUCUGUGUGUCUGUCCCAAGAGCCGCGCCCGGAUCCUGGCCCCACACACCACAUGGCUCACCCAAGUGCCUCCCUUUGUUUCAAACUCUUGGAGCCUGGAGCACUUGUUGAACCUGACCACGAGUGCAUCAAAGUGGCUGACAAUUAGGAAAAAAACAAAUAUCAUUUGAGGUGGUUUUGGGUGGAAUCCAAUCAUACAUAGAUGGGCUCGUUGCUGUUGUUAUAAUUUUGAAUAUUCCUCAUAGUGGAGAUAUUUGCGCUGUGCAGCGGCGUCCCCGGCACAGCAAACAUUGCAUUAUCUCUCUGUGCAAAGGCUCCAUUAAUCACACGAGACAAUGGGCCAGACACAUCCCUUUGAGCCUGGUGCUGGGAUCCUCCGGGCUUUUCACCUUGUCCAAACGCUUCAUCCCUGUCAAUGCAGGCAGCAUCUCUUCAAAACCAAGGGCUCUGAACUGUGGGACUGACAGGAAAACGUCUAAUUCAGUUAAAAGAAUUCCCCAGUUAUUUUAUAUUUUCCCUUUGAUUUUUCAUGGCUUGUAGAAGCUAAACUUUUUCAGUCUUUCUGUCUGUACAUGAGAUCAAUCCAGUAAUUUGUUAAAACACUAAUGAAAUUGCCUGAUAGAUCUGUGUCCUUUAAAGCAGCAGCAGCAGUGGCAAGCACUGAGAUUGAGCAGGAUGGAGUGGCCUGGCCAAGCCGUGGCCCCACUGGCAGGAGCUGCAGAGUGGACAGCAGAGGGAACACAGCUUGGUGGUGAAGGUGCUGUUCUCCUGAAAGAGGAUCCUGGCAAAAACAUGGCUUGGUGCCGGGGACGGCACGCCGAAGGCAAGACAGCGGCAGACACUUGAAUGGAGGCUCCUCGUGUUUGCAGCCUGGUCACACGAGUGACUGAGACCCGAAAUCUCCCUGACAUCCUCUCUGGAUGCUUGGCCUUGGAACAGCCUCAUUCAUGCCACACCUGCUCCCUUCCGUUUGUGGAGCCUUCUAUGCUGCACUGGACACUGGAAAAGCACUUGGAGAUGGCUGGAGAAGGAAGGGGACAUCCUGUAAAAUGGUCUCUAAACCAGGCCCUUCCCUGUGCCAUGGCUUUUCUGGGGCUCAUUAAUAUCAGUGGUUCCUGCUGGAAGAACUCUGUCACCUUCCCUGAGGCAGCAGAGCUGAGGCCAGACGUGGUGUGCGCUGCUUGUGCAUCAGACAUGAGUAAUAACAAGUUUGGAGGAACUGUAUACCACUUAAUAAAAGCAUUUUAUUACAUUUAAA